UGGGGAAUAUUGCACAAUGGGCGCAAGCCUGAUGCAGCCAUGCCGCGUGUGUGAAGAAGGCCUUCGGGUUGUAAAGCACUUUCAGCGAGGAGGAAGGCGUUAAGGUUAAUAACCUUGGCGAUUGACGUUACUCGCAGAAGAAGCACCGGCUAACUCCGUGCCAGCAGCCGCGGUAAUACGGAGGGUGCAAGCGUUAAUCGGAAUUACUGGGCGUAAAGCGCACGCAGGCGGUUUGUUAAGUCAGAUGUGAAAUCCCCGAGCUUAACUUGGGAACUGCAUUUGAAACUGGCAAGCUAGAGUCUUGUAGAGGGGGGUAGAAUUCCAGGUGUAGCGGUGAAAUGCGUAGAGAUCUGGAGGAAUACCGGUGGCGAAGGCGGCCCCCUGGACAAAGACUGACGCUCAGGUGCGAAAGCGUGGGGCAGCAAACAGGAUUAGAUACCCUGGUAGUCCACGCUGUAAAACGAUGUCGACUUUGGAGGUUGUGGGCUUGACCCGUGGCUUCCGGAGCUAACGCGUUAAAUCGACCGCCUGGGGAGUACGGCCGCAAGGUUAAA
rnacentral:rRNA from 1 species